GGAAGAGAGUGGGACCUAAUGCAGGAUCCUCUGGACCUGUGCUUUUGAGACUAUGAGACUAGAAAUCCAGGGAGAGUCGGGAGGUUGGCAGAAGGAGCAGAAGUUGGACAGAUGCACAGGACAGGCAGUGGCAGCACAAGGGGAGCUGUGAGUAAGCCGUGGAGAUGCGUCAGCAGAAGCCGUGAGAGAAAAGCUCGGCCAAGCAGAGGGGGAGGGAAUUGCCUGGGAAUAGCAGGAGGCAGAGAAUGAUGGAGGAGAAUUAAAAUGAAGAUCUACAAAUCCCUGCUGCUGAGAAGCACCGAGACACCAUGAGCGCUGGGACUGCCUGGGAAUGUACGACACCAAGAGUGAACCCUAAUGUAAACUCUGGACUUUGCAUGGUAAUGACGUGUCAAUACUUUCUCUGGAGAACUUCUUGUCACAGUCCACCUCUCCAAGGACAUUCGCAAAUCCCACUUCUUCUAGGAAACUUUCCAUGAUCACUUGACUUGAAAUGGACUCUUCUCUCCUUAACUCCUGUUUGGAUUAUUUUCAGUUGCAUAAGUAACUACCCAAAACUUAGUGCUUACAAAUUAAAACAAUAAUUUACUAUCUCUUGAAAUGCUGUGGGCUUACUAGGCAUUCUUCUGCAUCACAAGGUGUGGCUGGGUGCUGGCACAGCUGAAGUCAACCGGGGCCUUAACUGGACUGGACCGUCUAAGACGGCUCACUCCCAUGGCUGACAGUUGAUGCUCAGCUGGGGCUGUCAAUGGGGCACCUGUAGAUGACAGGUCACAGCAUGGCAGCUAGGUUCCUAGAGGGAGCAUCCUGAGAAAAUCAGGAGGAAGCCACAAGGCUUCUGAUGGUUUAGCCUUGGAAGGCACCCAAAGUCAUUUCAGCUGCAUUCUGUCGUCAUGGGCCAGCCCAGUUUUGAGGAGGUAAAAAGGACAAAUAGAUCCUGGCUCUUAAUGGAGGCAGUGUCAAGGAAUUUGCAGUUAUCUUCAACCCACCACAGCUCUCAUGGUGUUGUUUCCACAUACUGAUUAGAGCGUUUGUCACCUUUUGCCUAUAUAACAAUUAUUUAAGUGUCUUUUAUCUCACAUACUAGAUUUUAUGCCCCUGAGGAGAGACUACAUCUUAUUUAACUCAAUUCUUUCAAAGUAAUAAUAACCACAAUAAUAACAAACAUUUAUUAAGUGCCUACUAUGUGCUUGAUCUCAUCUAUUCAAACACAUGAUCUCCUCUAGUCUCUACUCUGACAGGGUAGACAUUAUCCCCAUUUUACUGAUUGGGAAACCGAGGCACAGAGAGAUUCAGCCUUGCCCAAAGCCAUAUACAGUCAUGAGCUGAAUAACGACAUUUCAGUCAACAACAGACUGUGUAUACAACAGUGGUCCCAUAAGAUUAGCACCGUAUAGCCUAGGUGUGUAGUAGGCUUUACCAUCUAGGUUUGUGUAAGUACUGUAGGGGAGGAAGAAAUUCUCCUCUACCCUCUAGGUUCUUGUGGCUGGUUUAAGAAUGAAAUUGACCUGAGACAGUUAGAGGGAGAAAAGCAAACAAAAGUUUAAUAGCAUGUAUAUAGGGGAGAAGUCCAGGAAAACCAAGUAACUUACCAAAAUGGCUGAAGCCCUCACCUUAAGUACCAUCCUCAGCUAAUGAGAAAAGAUGUUGGGGUGGGGAGAGUCAAGAACUUCAAAGGGAAGGAAGGCAAUUCACAGGUAGGUGAAAAGGAGCAAAUGUUUGGAAAACAAGUGUGUAUUUGGCCACACAGAAACAGAAGAACACAGAGGGGAGCCCAACAAACUGUCUACCGUCUAGUUCAUGUUACACUAAGGUGAUAGCUCACUUCCUGAGACAGGCUUUUUUUUUAAAUCUGAUUUCUUUUAGGCAGUUAAGCGGGAGGUAACAAGAAAAACUUUCUGAGUCCUUUGUUUCUUAAAAAUAAUCAGCCUAAAAUAGUCCUCAUGUUAAAGAGACACAUUUGGGGUGGCAAAUUUUGUUCCCCUUCAGUACACUCUCUGAUGUUCACACGACAAAAUUGCCUAACAAUGUAUUUCUCAGGACGUGUCCCCGUCAUUAAGUGAUGCAUGGCUGUAAUUGGUAGGUGGCAGAGCCAGAAUUUUGAACCCAUUGAAGAGUCUGUCUUCUCAUUAUCUUUUCCAUUGCCAUCUCACAAUCUUGGCACCAAAGAAAUGUGCUCAAGUCAACCUGUGUUGGUGUUACUGAAGUGUCGCUGGGCACAAGAACAAAAGGGAAAGAAGAAGAAAGAAUGCAGAACGGAAAGUGAGGGGUGGCACAGAGUUGUCAUCAAGUGAGCCAGGUGGCUCCAGUUGACACAUGGUCCAGAGGUCCAGUGCUGAGCAUCCUCUGUAGCCUGCUGGAUAGAGGGCAGAGUGUUUGGGAGCUCAGCAAGGAAUGGGAGUAUUUAUUGGGUCUGAGUGCCUGAUUCGAAACUCUUCUCCAAAAUUCCUAUUUUCUGUCUGCCAAAAUAAGUGAUGGACUUUACAGUUCAUAUUCUAGCUCAUCUGCCCAGGUCAGGGACCUACCACUCUGAAUUUCUCGUCUGCUUCUUCCCAGCUAGAAGUAAGUCUCGAUUUACUUCCCAUCAGGAACAAGCACCAUCUCCCUGCUCAGUGAGAUCCUAGUUUUAGAAGAUUCUGCCUUUAUCCUGGGAAUAUCUAUGUAUGUGCACAAAGCCCCUCUCUGUGGAGGAGACACUUAAACCUAAAAUAAGUGGGAACUUCAUAUCCAGGGAGAUGGCAAAUAAAAUGUCAAUAUUUUUUACAUUAAACAACCUCUUAUAUAUCUGUUCUUCUGUGAACGUAAUGGCACCGAUGGGCCAAAAGUCCAAAAAAACUGCUUCAGUUCCUGUGUUAGUCCGUUCAGGCUGCGGUAACAAAAGCCCACAGCCUGGGUGGGGGGUGGUAGUUUAUAAACAACAGACAUUUAUUUCUCACAGUUCUGGAGUCUGGGAAGUCCAAGAUCAUGGUGUCAGCAUGGUUGGACAUGGGCCCUCUUUCUGGUUCACCGCCUGCACCCUCUCGCUGUGUCCUCACAUCGUGGAAGGGGCAAAGGAUCAUUCUGAAGCCUCUUUUUUUCAAGGCACUAAUCCCUUGGUGAGGGCUGCACCCUCAUGACUUAAGCACAUCCCAAAGGUCCCAUCUCCUAAUACCAUCACCACUGAGGGUUAGGAUUUCAACAUUUGAGUCUGCGGGGGACACAAACAUUCAAACCGUACAGUUCCUCAAUGUGAAUGUCAACAAUUGGUGCAAAAAGUGGAGGCACAGAUUGUUUUAGCCUCUUUCCCCUGUGGCCCCCACACUCAUAGGGCUGAUCAUCCCCUGCUCACGUGUGCACCAUUCCCAAAGGACAUCACCGUGAAAUGGUGGCUAUGUUCUUGGACAUGACAGAGCAAGUGUCUUCAGUACUUCAAGGACACAAUUAUACAGCUCUAUGCACCUUGGGAAUUACAAAGACAUUCACUGAUCAGCCUGGUCAGCUGACAUUCUUAAUUGUUUACAGUCAAUUCUCCUUGCUCCAGGUCCACCCAUGAGUCCCUAGAAGGAUAAAAGGGUAGAUCAGCUUAUAAAAACACUGCCUUAAGAACCUAAAAAGUCUGAAAUGACAAAACUCUGCCAAACAAUGGAGAAAUCCAUUGAAAAUACCAACUACUUGUGUAGUAAGGUCAAGCAAGCAUGUCACUAGGCCUUACUGUAUCAGAGGCAAAAUUAUCUAACAUGGAUGAUUGGUCCUACUGAAUAUUUUGGUUCCUUCAACUCCCUACCACCCACCCCCGUAAUCAUUCUCCACACAGCAGCCAGGGCUAGCUUUUAGAAAUUGAAAUCAGAUUGUAUGAGCCCUUGCUAAAACACCCCAAAGUCUUCCUAAUCACUUAGAAUAAUCUCCAAACAUCUGAGCAGAUCCUUAGAAGGUUCUAGAUCAUUUGUCCCUGCCUAUCUCUUCUACCUCAUCUCCCUCCAUUGUCCCAUAUUAACAGGUCCUGCCAUACAAGUUUCCUGUUUGUUCAAGAACACACAUCAAGUCUGAUCUGUCCUCUGGACCUUUGCACCUGCAGUGCCCUCUGCCUGAAAUGCCCAGCUCUUGGCCUGGCUUUCUUUCUUCUUUCAAGUAUCAGUUCAAGUACCACUUCCUUGACCACACAGUCUAAAGCAGUCCUCACCCCACUUCGCUCUCCAUUGGUGCUCUUAUUUUCUUUUCUAUAGCACCUUCAACCUAGAUACUUACACGUUUAUCACAGCCCCUCACUUGAGAGUGUAUGUACCAUGACGCAGGAACUUGAUGGACCUCCCCUGUGUCUCCAGCACCUUCCAGAAUACUUGGGACAAGUAGGUACUCAAUAUUUGUUGAAUGACUGAGCAUAUUAGUUUCUUAUAUCCUCCAGGCAUUUUAGAGACACUGUCGCCUGGGGAAGACACUUGGAAAUUUAACCUCUCUUGAGAAGGCAGGGAAAGCCUCGCUUCUCAUUAAUUAUUUAAAUACCUACAAAGCCUGGGAUUUCAGGAGGAUUAAGAAUCUUCCUCAUUCCACUUGUCACCGCUACAUGCUCUCAGGCCUAAUCAUAGCACCUGUGACUCUUACACCGACGGCUGGUGUCUGGUCUCCUGAGAGCCUUAGUGUAGCAAGAAAGCAUCUACAGACUGUUAACACUGGCAUCUUUUGAGAUUUUAAUUAUUGGAGUAUUUUUUUUCUAUCUCAUUCAUGGUCAGGAUUUUGAUUAACUUGUAAGUGGGAGCUUUGGCAAUUAGAGGAGUUUGGAGGAGGGUGUUUAGGGCUGGUAAGAAAUGCCAGGGCCGCCCUUAGCUGCUAGUGCAGGAAUUGGCGGUAUGCCAGCUGCCUCCCCCAUCUUUGCAUCCAUCUACACCCCAUGUGGGAGGAUGGGCACGCAGCAGGAUUGUUGGCUGCAAUGGGUCGUCGGACUUGCUGGGAGCUCUCUGCUUCCCAGAUAUUUCUUUCUGUCUACGGCAUCUUUGUGGAUGCGGGAGUCUCCAAGUUUUCAGCAGGUUAGGCCAGCAGGCAGCAGCUCACUCUGGUGUUAUGUAGUUGGAGCACCUUCUUCUCAGCACUUGGGCUUCCAUCCAGGCUGCCUCAGCGCUUCUGAACGACCAAGGUCUGGAAAUAGUUCAUCCACGGAGCUGGCUUGGCAGAGGCAGGCUGCUCAGCUGAGCAGUGCGGCGGCUCUGACUGCUCUCUCCUCAGGGGUCCCAGGUCCACCCAUCGCUUCUCACCUCCUCCUAUUCUGGGCUUUCAGAGCCCAGUUCUGCAUUUAGAUGUAGCUUUGCAGGGAGAUAGGUCUGGGUUUGAACCUUUACCAACCUGUUUAACCCUCUGAGCCUCAAUUUCUUUAUCCGUAAGAUGGGGACGAGAACCACAACCUACCUCACAAGUUUUUGAGAGGAUUGAAUGAGACACUGGGUGCAAAGUGUCUAGAACAGUAAAUGUCAGCUGUUAUCAUUUGGGUUCAAGUUUAUGUGUGACACCUUAAGCCAGUUCACCCUCUGGGUCUCAGCUUUCUCACCUAUAAAUUGAGGAUAAUGCCUCUUGUAGUUGUGUGAUAAUGAAACGAGGGUGCAAGAUAAAUUGUCAAGCAUUUUCCAAAUGCGGCCUGAUUUCAUCAGUGAGUCUUUGACUUGCAUCUACCUCUGGCCAUGAAGUUAAGUUGAAUUUCUCACAAAACCCUAAACAUGGACAUGUUGUCUGCCUUACUCGUGAAAAGAAUGUAGAAAUAUAGAAUGGGGCGGGCUAUAUGCAAACACUGUUGGGAAGUUAAAAAAAAAAAGGCAAAUAGCAUUAAAAUGAUUAUUGCAUGAGUGACCAGACUUUCGUCCCUCAGGGGAAAAUAUUUCCCAAUUUGCUUAGAGUAGCAAAAAAGAGGGAAAAAAAAGAUUUGAUGGUUAUUUCAAAUCUGUCUCCCCCAGGGAAAUUAAAUCUGAGUUAUGAGGUAUUUUUCAUGAAGCCAGAGUCUAGCAUAAAACUAACAAUUAAAAAAACCACUGUGAGAUGACCAUAAGUGGAUUCGGACGGAAUUGUCCUUAGCACAGGGAUGCGGGAGCACACCGUCAUCCCUGCCACAGAACUUCCUCCGACCCCCGCCCUACCCCACAUCCUUGGCCUGGUGGGGUCUGGGUACAUCCUUUAGGAGUUAUGUCACCUGCCAUGUUCCCAUCGCCCUGCAGGCAGGGACCUCCCAGUGUUCACAGCUGGUAAACUGACAGGCCUCCUCAGUCUCUGUCACUCCCACCGGCCCUCCUCAUCCCCAGCAGGAAUUGGUGCUGCUGUGAGGACCGCAAAGGCAGCGGGGCAUUUUUAUUCUGAAGUAACAAGUUAUUACAUGUAAACCAUGGUUUCUGUUUUUAUUUUUUCAAAAAUGACACUGAGUACUUUUCCCAGAAACCUGAUUGUUUUUAGCCUCAUCUUUGGUCUUCUCUCCUAUGGGCAGUUUCAAAGGUCAGGGGCGUUUCUCAUUUGAAUCUCCCCAGCACCCCUUUCUGAAGCAGAGCCGUCUUCUCUGUAGGGAACCCAUGCAAGGGGAGCUCACUUUGCCCAUUCGCAGGACCCAGAACUGGCCAAUCCUUGUAUCCUACACUCUUGGCCAUUGUGGCUGGUUCCCAUAGGCACAUGAGGCAAAUCAAGCAAAUCAGGAGCUUCCUUGGAUCUUUCCUGAUAUUGCAAUUGGCAAAGGCCGUGUCUUUCCCCUGGGGUUGUCAGGCUGGGAGGAUUUCAGUCUGAGGCUGCUGGUAGCCAUGAGGCCAGGGCCUGCCUGAGAGACAAGAGAUCUCUGAUAGCAUUGUUGGCACUCUGGAUCAAGCCCUGCCUGAAGCCACUACAGUAGGGCACUAUGUGAACUAAUAAAUACCCUCCAUGUCGCUUUUUUUGAAGGGGGUUUCUGUCACUGUCAACUGCAAACAUCUUGACUGAUACAGUUAGAUUAGCCUCUGUGUUAGGUUUUUUGAAAAUUCUUGAAGAAUGGCUAAGAUGGAAUGAAUGCGGUGUAAAGAAACGUGAAAUAGAGGGGAGCAUACAGGUUAAAUUUGGAAUUUCCUUGAAAAAUAAUGCCUCCCAUUUACUGAACACCUGCGAGUGCCACACAUUUUAUAUACCCCAUCUUCUUGGCUUCUCACUGCCAUCCUGCAGGUUGUAUUAUAACCAUUUUAGAGAGCAGCAAACUGAGGCUUGGAGGAACUAAGAGACUUGCCAAAGACCACUCAGGGAGGAAGUAGUGGAGCCAGGAUUUUGCACUCGAGUUUUUGGUGAAACAACUUCCAUCCUAUAGAUCUAAGACUAUUGCUUACUCAUUCAUUCAGCACUUAUUGGACAUUAGGUAUUUGCCAGGCAGGAUGUUAGGCACCGGGGAUAUGAAAUGAAUAUGAUAGCGCACAUCCUUCAGCUGCUCAGAGUCCAGUGGGGGAGACCCCCAUUAGGGUCAUUAUUAUGGGUUGAAUGGUAUCCCCCAAAAAGAUAUCUUGAACUCCUAACCCCUGGUAUGCGUGAAUGUGAGAUUCUUUGGGAAUAGGGUCUAUGCCCAUGUGAUCAAGAUAAGGCGAGGCCAUUAGGGCAGGCCCUAGUCCAGUAUGACUGGGUCCUUCUAAGAGGGAAAUUUCGACCCCCGGACCCACGGGAAAAGGCCACGUGAAGCUGGAGGCAGAGAUUGGAGUGAUGCUUCUCCAAGCCAAGGAACACCAAGGAUUGUCCUCUGUCACCAGAUGCUGGGGGAGAGGCAUGGAACAGAUUCUCCCUACGAGCUCUCAGAAGGAACCAGCCCGGCCAACACCCUGAUGAAGGACUUGCAGCCUCCAGAACUGCGAGACAAGACAUUUCGGUUGUUUUGAGUGACUCAGUUUACGACAGCCCUAGAAAACAAAUACAGUCAUCCAGGGUUCCACCUCCAGGAACCUGUGUUGAUUUGAAUCUCGUCUAAGAUUGCUCUGCCUGUGGCCCCCCCAGCUGACAACCUGGGACAAGCCUCUGCAGCCUGUAGUCCCACCCUCCCAUCCAUCACACCUCGCAGGUGGGCUCCUCCCAGCCACAGCUCCCUGUCCUCUUUGCCACAGAUGAGUGAAGCCACUGGGUCCCGGAUUGCCCAGCACCAGGACGCACCCUGUGUGACAAUGCUCCCCUCCCCCGACCUCUGAACACACUCUGGCCCCAAUAGCCGCCCGGGGCCCACAGUUUGCUUUGGACAGGCAAGUACCUGGAGGCAGCGGACAGCUAAUACCAGGGCGUUGCCCUUCCUUUAUAUUCCAAAGCUGUUCUGUUUCCAGGAUACGAGUCUCAUGAUUCCUCCUUUGUGAUUAAUGUUGAAGCCAUUUCUUGAUGUACUGUCUUAAUAACACGGUGAAGGCAAACAGCCUUUGGUUGGCGAAUGUGACAGCACUUUUAUCUGACCAGCCUCACCCUGGCCUAUUCCUGCAAACCAGGUAGGCAGCAUGUGGAUGUGGAAGACGUGAAACGAGGGGAAAUAAAGUCUGAAUUAAUCGGCAAUUUGCCUAGGCUGGUGAUUAGCUAUAAUUUGGACCUGCUGCCUAGCGUUUUAAGCGCUGGCCCAACUUCCUUUAGUUUUUGACUGUCUUGAAAUGCCAACAAAACUCUCCUAAUGAGAAGCAUUUACCUGCUGAUGUGUUUGGAGGGCAAAACGCCAGCUCAUUAAACGUGGUGAAGCCUCCAGUAGCUAAAGCUUUCCUGGUGGGUGAACUUAAACUUUCCAUACUCCUAAAGAAGGGGGCGACGUCAGUUAUAAUUAUUCCCAAGUGGGUGUCCUCCUGUCAACACCUCAAGGCCAAGGCCCUGAUCUUGCUUUUUUAAUUUUUGUACCUUUAAGAACAUCUAACAGAGUGGGUACUUCAGGCCUGCUGGUUGGCUUAAGUACAGGGAUUUAAUUCGGGCCACUGUGACCCUAGUAUGUUUUUAUCACACAUGGUGGUUAAGAAUUUAGGCUUUGGAGCUUAAGAGGCAGGCUGCCUGGAUUAGAAUGCAAGCUGGCUGUGUGACUUCGGGAAGGUGAGUUAACCUCUCUGAGCUUCAGUCUCUUAUCUGCAAAAUGAGUUGUUAGAAUGAGUCAAUGAGAUAACGUACCUGAAGUGCUCAGCAAUCAACAAAAAGAGCCAUUAUUAUUAACUGGUAAUUGGAAGAUCCGGACUUAGCCAGGUUUGUCUGACUCCAGAACCCAGGCUGUUGCCCAUUUUGGGGCUCAGCAUGACUUCCACUGGAUUUCUCUCCACCAUAGGGUGAGCUGGCAUAACCAGACGCAGGACCAGCAGCCACGUGCUGGAAGAGCCAUGCUGGACAUGCUAAAUCCUUUCUCAGAUGCCUGGACAGAGCUCCCUAAGCCCCCAAAAUCACAGCCAAGAAGCCCCAUACUCCCACCCAAGUUGGUCAUGCAGAAAUCUCGGGAGCGUCUCUGUCUCUUUGUGGGAAGAGAGAAGAUUUCCAGACUCCUUUCGGGUCUCUCUCUCUCCCAGGGCUUGUCAAAGUCCCCUGUUGUGAGGACAGGAGCUCAAGGAGAGAAGACACACUUUAGGGUCCUACUCAGCUCCCCUCCCCCAGAGGUACAGGCGACUGUGGCCUCUCAGAUCUGGAAGCAGUCUUCCCAGCUCUCCAUCCGUACUAGUUUCUUAUGGCUGCCAUAACAAAGUACCAAAAACUGAGUGGCUUAAAACAGAAAUUUAUUGUCUCACAGUUCUGGAGGCUAGAAGUCCAAGAUGAGGGUGUCGGCAGGGCCGUGCUCUCUGACAGCUCUAGGGGAAAACCCUUGCUGGCCUCUUCCAGCUUCUGCUGUUUGGAGUGGUCCUAGGUCUUCCUUGGCUCCUUAGAUGCAUCACUGCGGUCACAUGGCCAUCUUCUCCCUGUGAGUCUUCACACAGUGUUUCCUCUGUGCAUGUCUGUGCAUGUGUCCAAAUUUCUCCUUUUUAUAAGGACACCGGUUAUCUUGGAUCAGGGUCCACCCUAAUGACCUCAUUUUACCUUGAUUUUCUCUGUUAAGACCCUAUUUCCAAAUAAGGUCACAUUCUGAGUUACUGGGGGUUAGAACUUUAGCAUUUCUUUCUUUGGGAGGCGGAAUUCAACUCACCACACCAUCUGUGAUGGUUAAUUUUAUGUGUCAACUUGGUUAGGCUAUCACACCCAGCUAUUUGGUCAAACAUUAUUCCAGAUAUUUCUGUGAAGGUAUUUUUUAGACAAGAUGGACAUUUAAAUCAGUCGAUUUUGAGUAAAGCAGAUUACCCUCCAUCCGAUCAGUGAAAGGCCUUAACAGAAAAAGAUUCACGUCCCUCGAAGAAGAGAGUAUCCUGCCUGCAGGCGACCUUGGUACUCAAAGUGAAAUCCUUCCCUGGAUGUCUAGCCUCCCGGCCUACCCUGCAGAUUUUGGACUGGCCAAGCCUCCACAAUCAACUGAGCCAAUCCUUAAAACAAAUUCUCUCUCUAUAGAUAGAUAGAUCGAUCGCUUGAUAGAUAGAUAGAUCAAUCUAUCUAUGGCUAGGGAUCUAUAUCUGUAUCUAUAUCUCAUAUAGAUAGAGUUGGUUCUGUUUCUCCAUUGAUUCUGUUUCUCUGAAGAACCCUGACUGAUACACCAUCCAAGGGUCCCUUGGCGAUGGUGCCACGAUCGUAGCAAGGCUGGCAAUGCCUCACCCAGACAGAGGAGAAUGCCUGGGGCUGCCUUUCAACUCACCUCACUGUAAACAGUCAGUCAACCAGCAGACACGCAUUUCUGAGCCUUCGAUUUUUAUUAAUCCCUCGGCAAAGGAAGUUUGGACAGUUCAGUCUCAGUGUGAAUUGCAUUCAGAGACCAUGGAGAAGGGACAAGAAGAGAUUCCCUAGCUUCACAAGCUGGUGUGGUUCUGGAGCUGCUGUUCUGUACAAGGAGGACAGAAACACUCAUUUAAAAUAAUGCAUAAAAUGUUAAAGUCUGUCACAUUGUUCAUUGUCUAGUUACCUUUUGCUGUCUAACAAACUGCUUCAAAAUUUACUGGCUGGAAACUAUAACUAUUUAUUUAUUUGUGACUCUGAGGGUCAGCAGUUCAUGCUGGGCUCAACAGGGUGGUUCUCCUGCUUGAUGGCUUCUGGAGUCAUUUAUGCAGCUUCUGUCACCUGGUAGAACUGGGUGUCUUACUUAGUUGGAGCUGCUGUAACAAAAAUACCAUAGUCUUUGUGGCUUACACAAAAGAAAUUUACUCCUCCCAGUUCUGAAAGCUGCGAAGUCGAAGGUGAAGGUGCCAGCUGAUUCCCUGAGGGCUCUUCCUGGUUUGUGGAGGGACACCUUCUUGCUGUGUUAUCUCAUAACAAGGACAAAGAUCAUCUCUCUCCCGCCUCCCCUUAAAAAGGCAUCAAUCCCGUUCAGGAGGGCUCCUCUCUCAUGACCUAAUUACCUCCCAAAGGUCCCAACUCCAAAUACCAUUACACGGGCCAUUAUGGCUUCCACAUGUGAAUUUGGGGGAAAAGCGAGCAUUCUGUCCGUAGCACUGGGACGAGAUGGUCCAAGAUGGCUUCACACACAUCUGGCCAUUGGUACUGGCUGUUGCCUGGGCUUCUCUCUCCAUUCGAGUUCUCAUCUUCAAGAUAGCUAGCCUGGGCCUCUUUACCUGGUGGUCCUGUGUUCUAAGAAGGUGAGAGUAGCAGCUGCUAGGCCCCUUAAGACCUAGACUCAGAAGUCACCAAAACAUCACUUCCAUUGUAUUCCUUCAGCCAAAGCAAGUUACAAAGUCUUCUUCUGUUCAAGGUGAGGAAGAAUGGACUCCACCACUUGACAGGAGGUGGUGCAACGAUGUUCACGCACUGAUGUGAGGAUUUAUUACAGCCAACUUUGCAAACAAUCUACCACGUUUACUGAGCAAAUUAAAUCAGUGAAUGUAAAGGGCAAGUUAUGUCAGGAUACAUCAACAGAGGUGACAGCACGACACUGAUCAGACCCAGAGAUCAGAGGGGCAUUUCAGACGUGUGAGGACAUUGCUGUUUAUUACGCCAUUUGAUUGAGAACCCGGCAGGGAAGGUCUUUGGGAUCCGCCUGAUUCAAAGUCUAGUCUAUAAAUUUUUUCCUGUGAAAUUAGAUAUUUGCCUCAUCUCUGUUACAGCACAGCCAGAGGCAUCUGGCUGGGCCUGCUAACUUAUGUUCUUAGAUUUUCCUUGGCAGAAAUUAAUUUCUUUUUCUUAAGAAGUUUUUUUUCUCACUCCAAGGCUGAGUCUUUGCGUUAAUACCGGGGAUCCACAAUUCAUAAAUUUGUACCUCUUGGUUCAUUGUUUCAAAAUGAGACUUUUAAUAGAUUCCAAAGACUUAAUAAGAGUGCCGCCUAGUCACAUAAUGAAGCUACUGUGCACGUGGCUGACAGGUAGUAAUUUAUUAUUAUCCAUGUCUCUGAUAAGAGCUGUGCCAUGCACAGUGGGUGCCUAAUAAAUAUUAGCUAUUACAACAUAAGCGAUGGAAGAAAGUUUGUCCCUUUGUGUCUCAGCCAACCGUUCAUAACACAUUCUUCUAUUACCAUUGUAUCUAUUUUCUGUUAAUUUUAUCAAUUAUAUGUAGAGGGGAACUAUAGCCAUGUGUCUUUAUUAUUGUGAGUUUAAAUGUCCUAAUUUAUCCUGCCACUGUGUUUUGCUUAGCAGAGCAAGUCACAAUAUUUUUCUGUCCCUGCAGUGAAAGACUGCAGUAAAUUGAUCUUGCUAACAACAGAUAAUUAUUAGCUUCCUCAAGAAUUUUACUGUAUAUGCAUUGCUAAGCAUUCCAGGAGGAUUAAUAUUUCUAAGAAUUUUGGACAAGAUGAGGUAUCGGCCAAAAGAGAGGGCUGUUUUAAUGUUGGCCCUUGCUCCUGUUGCAUAUCCACCACCGAUCAUUUGUUAAUGCUGCUUGUGUUUCAAUCUGUGGUCACUCCAAGAAUGAAUGCUCCUCUGCUGACUAAUACACCCAGUUCCAAAGGGAGAAGCAGGCAACUCAGAACACUGGACGAUGCCGGCAGUCACCAGGUAUGCAUCCAAGAGCGACAUCUUCACAGGGUGAUGCUUUUCUGAAAAGUCGGCAGUGAAACGGCAAAUUUUAAAGCACGGUUCAUUGAUGUUCAAGGGUUUCUUCUUCAGAUGAGCAGAGCUAUUCUGGCACUUGGAAUUGCACAGUUUUUUUAAAUUUUUUUCUUCCUUAUUUGUUUGUUAUGUUGUCAUUGGGAGCAGGCAGAGGAAAGGCAAGGGGUUUUAAGAUUCAGCAGAGGACUGCUGAGAGUCAGAGCUCGGUGGGGCUGGAAAGUCUUUGCCAAGCUAAGGGUCCAAAAGAAAUGGAAACCUUCUGAAACAUCCGGUCCAUUCAUACAUUGAUUAUAAAUAGAUGCCUAACCAGACUGCACUGACAUAUGUAUUAAAACCAUUUAAUUGGGGGCCGGCCCUGUGGCUGAGUGGUUAAGUUCACGUGCUCUGCUUCAGCAGUCGCAGGUUUCGCCGGUUGGGAUCCUGGGCGUGGACAUGGCACUGCUCACCAGGCCACGUUGAGGCGGUGUCCCACAUAGCACAACCAGAGGCACUCACAACUAGAAUGUACAACUAUGUACUAGGGGGCUUUGGGGAGAAGAAGAAGAAGAAAAAAAGAAGAUUGGCAACAGAUGUUAGCUCAGGUGCCAAUCUUUAAAAAAAAAACCCAGUUAAUUCUUUUAAUACAUUUCUAGUGAAUUUUCUAUUUAGGAAAACUUUGGGUAAACCACAAGUAGGCAAAUGUUGAUUUAUUCCCUUAGGGUUGGAAUGAGGGUUGGGUCUGGGUGGGCCUCUCUGGAGGAAGUGAGGGCUGGGUGAGGCGGUAGGCCUGAUGGGAGGUGAGGCAGGAGGGGAGGCAGCCCCAGGUCUGUGGGAUUCAGCCCCAUGCUAUGUAGUUUGGCCAACGGAGGGCACAGAAGGCAUUAAGAAAGGCAGAGACAGGGUCAGGUAGGUUGCAGCGGGAAGGGUAACUUAGGCAUCUUAGGUUGGGUUGCAGAGAAGCUGAGCCUGAGACAGGCUUCUUGGGCAAGGAGUUUCUUGAGGGAACGCCCUCAGGUGAAACAUGGAAGGGUUUGAGGGAGACUUGAACAUGACAGGCUAAGAUGUGGUCUAGCCUCAGGCUGAUCCCAUGGGGAGCUCUGGAGCGUGAGGGCCAGCCUUGUGCCUCAUUAUCAGGCAGCCGUGGCUGUGGGCUGUCCCCAGAGGGAAGGCAUUUUCUCCUGGUGAAAAAGCUUAGUGUUUUUCUCCCAGGGCAAGUCCCAGGAGAAGGGAGCAGCUGUGAGCUGUUAGCAGCCCCCAGUCAAGGGGAUGUGGGUGAGGCACCAAGCACAUCUACUUCCAGAGGGAAGCAAGAGCAGUGGAGCAGGCUCUCAGCAUCCUCCGAGAGGGGGGAGACUGCGGCAUGCCAUGGCCAUAAAGGAAAGGGCAAAGCAGUUCUUGUAAUGGAAGAAGCAUUAGGCUUUCUAGAGAGAGCCGCUAAGUAAGGGAUGAGAACAACAUGACAUUACCCGCGGUUCGGCUGAGGGCAAAAUCUAAGAGCUGUAUCCAUCAACCACGAAGGAAAGACGCCCACAGUUCAGAAUUACCCAGAGGUAAAGGGAGUGGGAUUUGGGUAACAUUGAGGUAUGUGUCAAGCAAGGCAGAGAAGGGGCUAUGCCAACAUUCUAAAAAUAAAUGAUUCUCUCCUGUUUCCAUCCGAGGUGCUCAAGGUAAUUUGCAAACAUUUGCAGGCAAGUUUUUUCCGGGCUGAACUGCAGGCAAAGCUCCCACUGACUUCACAGGGAGCUCCCAGGGGACACGCAGCAAGGCACAAAGGUGCUCACUGAUGAUCAGGCCUGGACAGGAGGAAAUGUCUCUAGAACACUCUUUAGAUCCCUCUGGAUCAUGGUGGAGGAAGGAUGGAUAAAUGAAUGAGCAGGUGUGUAUUGACCUUCACCAUGUGCAAGGUGCUGUGCCACAGCUGGGAAAGGUACAAAGAAUUCUGGAACGCUUUCCUGACCCUCAGAGUCUGAAAUCUCGCAGAAGAGGCCCAUCUAUGCCCAAGGUUAGCAGCACAGCUUUGGAGCCAGAUGGCCUGGGUUUGAAUCUUGGCUCUGCCACACUGACUCUUGGACCUUAGGCAAGUUAUGCAACCUCUCUGUGCCUCAGUUUUCUCAUCUGGGGUUAACAAUAGUAUGUACCUCAUACGGUCGUUGUGAGGAAUAAACAUAUUAAUGAAAGAGCUUAAAACUUGGUCAUUACUCUUAUAAAUGAGAGCAAAGCAGCAAACAUUUAUAAACUAUUCACAGCUGAGUGCUGUACAUGCUUCAUCUCAUCUGAUCCACAAACGACAUGUGAGGUGGGGACCGCCAUUAUCCCCAUUUUACCGACAAGGAAAUGGAGGCUCAGAGAAGUUAAGUAAGUAACUUGUAUAAAACCACAAAGUUAGGAAGUGGUAGAGGUGGGAUUUGUACCCAGAGCUAAGGCACUUAGCCAUGAUUCUAGAAUGUGUCUCCUAUAAGAAAAUCAAUGAGGGCCAAAUGCUUUAGGUUCUCAGAGAACCGAGAGCUCUCUGGGAACUGGGGCGAUCAUGGUAGGUUUCUGCUGAGUCUUCCUUUUUGAUGUAGGAGGAUCAUUUAUAUAUUCAGCCAUAUUUAUUGAGCAUGUAAUAUGAUCGGGCACAGAGCUGGAGACCUUGUGAGUGAUGCAUGGUUUCUACUCAGUUUAAAAGGGAAGACAUCAACGAUCGAAGGCUGCAGCAGCAGGGAGCGGGUCAUGCUGAGCAGGGCCUGGAGGCAGGAGUGGGCGAAUCUUUCAGGGAUGGGAAGAUAUGGACGAAGGGAGCAGGGCAAGGGAGCAUCCCUAAGGAGGUGAAGGCUAUGGCACAACAUGAGCAAAGGCUCAGAGGGAUGAAACAGCUCAAUGAAACCCUAAGUAUUUACAUAGUUGAAGCCACGCGUGACAGUGGGUAGGAUGGGAAGAAAUAAUUAUACUAACUGACACCCUUUGAAUGCACAUGAUGUCUUCUGCACUCUCUCUUUUAUUCUCUCCCUGGAGUGGGCAAACUAUGGCUUGUGGGCCAAUUCCAGGCCACCACCUGUUUUUGUAUGGCCCACAAGCCAAGAAUGAUUUCUACAGAUGAACAUUUGUAACUGAUUUUGAUGAUGAUUUUGAACCCUAAUUAAGCAAAAUGUUAUCCUUCCCCCGAAAAGAGCACUCCAUUGUUACUAGCAGACCCGUGUUACAAAAAAAUUGUCCUUGAUUAUUAUUAUAUUUUGAAAUUUGUCAAUAAAAUACGUUGUGGAAAUUAAUUCUCUCUCUAGUUAUGUAAGUACCUACAUAAUAGUCUUAAUUUUGUAUCUUGACCUACAAAACUUGAAAUAUUUACAACCUGGCCCUUUAUAGGAAAAGCCUGCCAAAGACUGUUCCUUCCAAAUGCCCAGGAGGCAUUGUUCUUAUUUAAGGAUAAGGGAACUGAUGCACAGAAGGAUUAAUUGCAGAGCAAGCCGGGAUGGAAGUAAGAUUUGAACCCAGGCAGUCUUGUCCUAGGGGCCCAAGCUCUGAACUGCACUUCCACCAGUGUUUGCAGAGGCCUGGGGAAGAAGCUCAGGCCUGAACUAGAGCAGGGCAGAGCGAAUGGGGGAACAAAACUGCCCGGAUGUGGAGACAAGCAAGAAGAAGGAGGCAUCCCAGCUGAGCCAGGCUUCCCUGAUGUGAGCGGAACUGCGUUGGGGGCCGUGGGCACAAUGGGAGCCAGCCUUGUUUCCCAGGAAAGGACCCCUGACCAGGGGCAUUGGAUUUCUCGCUUGGAUGACUGGGCCUAUUCGCAGUGCUGCGGGAAAUGCCAGAGGAAGAGCAGGGCUGGCGAGCUGAGGGUGGGACGUUCAACUUGGACACGUGGAGCUGGAAAUGCCUGGGGGAUACAUGUGUGCGGAUGUCUAGGAGGAGGGUGGAUAACAGAGUCUGGGCUCAGGAGCUAAGAGCAGAGUUGGGAGUCAUUAGCCAUGGAGGCUGAAACCUCGGAGAAUCAGGAUUCAUACACUAAGGCAGGAGAUUAUUCCCUCCGUUAACAGCAGUUGAAGAGUUCCUCUUCUCAGAACGGGGCUGUGGACAGAGCACUUUUCAUCUUCGAAGCUCUAGGUGGAGGGGAGUGGGAGCCAUGCUCCUGGGUUCAGUGGGCCUAGGAGAACAAGGAAACAGGGCUAUUUUUUAAAUGAGUGCCCAUGUCAUUAUAUGAUGUCUCUUGUCACACACACUCACUCCAAAGGAUCAUAGAGGAUGUAUUUUUAAAACUCCGGUGUGUGUAUUAAUUUACACAGAAUUAUCUGAUUAACUUCGAAGGCUGUUGACUUGAGCAUGAAGAUUCCCAAGUAAAAGCAGAAAGAAAAUGCUCAGUGUAAUUGAGAACACAAGGAGAAUUUCCUUCCAGUGAAGUUUCAAAAAGACAAAGGAAGAAGGAGCCUCUGAUUACAUAAUUCCUACCUGGGAAAGUAAAAAUCUUUGAUUAUCUAUUUAUGGCCUGCCAUACUCAGGGCCCAGAGGAAAUCAGACAAGCCUGAAAGAAACUAAUUUCCACCACUUCUCCUUUUCCUCUCUCUUGGUUUGUGGCCUCAUAACCUUGAGGAGCUGGCCUGUGUGUGCUUCUGCAUGGCAUGAGGUCCACUUCCACAGAUCUGCUGAGGAGCAGGCCCUGCUGGCCAGGGAGAGACGGAGGUAAAGGCAAAGAGGUGGUGAAGCCAUCACCUAAAGGGAACAGGACUGAGUCAACCUUGCCAGCCGAGGGGAUUCUUACAGACCUAAUGUUUUCCUAAGAGUUCUUGGGGCAAAUAAGGAGAAAAAGAUGAGGCUGUCUGAAGUUUUAGAGGAAGUAAGGGGUAAUCAAGGUUAGGGGCAUGCCCAGUCUUUGGAAUUUUUGCCUUGGUUUUCCUUGGGCCCGCUCCUGGCCUAUAAGGUGUCUGUGUGCAACUUAUAAAAGGUGACCCCACUACCCCUGGCCCCUGAUGCUGGGCAAGCCUGAGGCUGGGACUGUUGGCGGGGUGAGGGAGAGUAGGCCCCCACUGGCCCUCUUGGGUGAGCCUAGGGCAGAGCACAGCUGCACAUCUGGCCCCCCCAGGUCCUGUGUGUCCUACUCAUUAAUUUAUAGAAGAGCAGCAUCUGGAAAGCGGGUGCCGUAGAAAACCCGAUGAUGUGGCAGGGUUCACCUAAACUUAAUGCAUGUCCGUCUCAUACACCGAUUUGUCCUUUUCCUUGGACAAACACUGUCUCAGUAGGCCUGGGGACGUCUGUCUUUUCAUGAACUCUCCUCUCCCCUGGAUUUAAUUCUAUAAGGGAUCCUCUAGGAGGCACUUUGAAAAACUGCAGCCACGCUUUGAGCUGCUAGGCUUCCACUGAAAAAAUGAUUACUUCGAUGUUCUAAAUGGAACUGGAGAUCAAAUCAAUAAGAUCUAGGAAAUCCAUUAAAAAAAAAUGCAACAUGGUCCCUUAUCUAAUAUAAGAAUGAGAUUUUCAUGAGAUGUCUUUGAAAGAGAAAAAUGCAUGUGCAUAAAUACACAACAUCUGUAUAAACUAAAACAAUUAUCUUUCCUGAUUUGAAGGAAGCAUAUAAUGUAGGUGGAGGAGAGAUUUGUAUGUUUACCUCUGAACCUGAUUUGAUUUUAAUAUCAUUCUGUCAUUUGUGAACAGUUCCCAAGCGCCUUGUCAGGAAGAGUCGCUUAUUAAGCCACUGAAAGUAUCUUAUAAAAAUAGCAGACAAUCUAAACUGUGACUCAUUCCACGAAACCCCAGUGGCCCCAGCACGACUAGCUUCUGCACCGACUUAGUUGUGCAAACAUGUGCCAGCAUCCUUUCCAUGGCAGAUUCAGUGCUGACCUCAGAGUGAAGGAAGAUUCAUAAGACAUAGCCUGAUCUGAAAGGAGUUCACAACCCAGCAGGGAGGGAGCAAAAUACUAUACAAGAUAAGGUUAAACCAUUUGAGAUCAGUUAGAAGGGAUUGCUCUGAAGUCGUAUUGAUGGAGUACAGGUCUGUGUAGAGUGUGUUAGGAACAGAGAAGAGGGGAAACUGACCCAACCUAGGGGUGCUGGGGGAUUGUCAAGACAGAGACAUUUGAACAGUGUCUUGAAGGAUACGUAAGAGUUUGAAAGUGGCAAGGGGAGUCUUUUCAGCAGAAGAGCAGCACACGCAAAGGUAUGGAGCUAUGACUUUGCACAGCUAAUAAAGGAACAGCAAAGAGCUCUCCAUCGCUAGACAGCAAGGUGUAUGUGAAACUGACAAAGGAUGAAACUGGGGAAAAAAGCAGGCCAGACUCAGUGUGAAGGUGAGCCCUGAAGGUUUUCAGGCUGAGAAAGGCAUGAGCAGAUUGGUGUUUUAGAGGGAUUCAUCUGAUGGCCUCUGAUUUGCAGAAUAGACCUCUCAAUGAGAUCCACCUUAAGUGUGAUCCAUGGUGUGGUGGUGUUUUUCUCACUGAUUCAGAAAAUUAAUCCAUUUCCUAGAGUUCUUGGCUUAGACUCAGGAAGUGUUUAUACCCUAGAACAGAGGUCUGCAAACUAUGGCUCAUGGGCCAUAUCUGGCCCACCAGCUGUUUUUGUAAAUAAGGUUUUAUUGGCACAUAGCCACAUCAUUCCAUCCAGUAUCGUCUGUGGCUGCUUUCGCAUUCUGGCUGAUUUCGAAGCUGAGUUGAGUAGUUGCAACAAAGACUGUAUGACUACAAGGCCUGAAAUACUUACGAUUUGGUCCUUUACAGAAAAAGUUUGCUGACCCUUGCCCUUUGGUUCUUUGAAGUCUUUGCCAUCUUUCUCAUCAGAUGGGAAACUUCAGAGACAACCUUGAAGUUUAGCCUCAUUACCUUUUGUACUGCUUGCUUCCGCCUUUAUCAAGUGGCCCAAUUCAGUUGCUCUCUUCAAGCCGGUAGUGAGAAACACAGGGGAGAACCACGUACGAAAGAGGCCAUAAGACAGCGAGCACAAGGAGCCAGGCAAGUCUGGUCAAACCACUUCAUUUCUUCUCUACUGGAGUCCCUGCAUAUGAGAUCAACAGCCUGCCACCGACACCAAGCAUAUUGAGGGCAGCAGAGUUCGGAAACCCCUCACCAGGUCCGCUUGGGCAGGGAGGAACUGAUUAGGUGGUUCUGGUAAUAGACCAACACUGGCCCCCUAAAUGUACAGAUUAAUGGGCUGACAUCAAUCUUAGGGAGAUCUUUAACAUGUUCCUGUAAGAUUCCGGACUUACUCCUGUCCUCUUCAGCAUUUCUAUUGGAACACAUAAAUCAGAAGCCGUGUUAUCAAUGUGGAGUUUCCCCCUAUCUGGGGGAAGUGGGACAGCUAAUAACUGGCAUUGCUUUGUCAGCAUCAGUGUUUCAAAAAAUUCUUGAUGAGGUAGAGCAGUGUCCAAACUCUGCUCUCUUCCAGAGGGACAGUUUCUCCUAAGUGAGGAAUGUGAGUCUUAGAAGGUCCACCCCUAACAUCCAUGGGCCCUGGGGCAAGAGUAUAAACGGAGGCCAGCACACCAUAUGUCCAAAUACUUAGAAGUUAUAAAUCAAGCUAACAAACUGCUAGACAAGACGUAUUCUCUCCUCCUACCUUGACAAAUAUACCUUCUUCACCACCUAGAAGCCCAGAUUCAAAUUCAGAAUUCUCUGACUACUCGGAAUCUUAAAGCUGGAACAUGGCGGCUUGGAGAGAGCCAGUCCUCACCUGGCGCUCCCAGCUCUUGACCCACCUUUUUACUUUCUGACCUGCUCUUGGGCUCCUCAGUCACUUCUCUCCAGUUGCUUUCUCUUUACUGCUUCACCAGUGAGAGCUAUCAUUUGGUGCCAUUCAUCCGGUUCUGCCCUCUGGCUUCUAUGCUUAAACCCAAUUCCUACUUCCACCACUGAUUCAUUGGUUUCCAGUCUCUUCAGGUAACCCCCGGUUUAGUGCUUACAUUUGGUAUAUCCCCAGGCAAUCGUGUCCCUGAUGGAUUCUCCCCAUGGCUAGGAAACAGAACCUGGCCAACUCUCACCCACCUUCCAGCUCCUGUUCCCUCUCCCCAACUCCCACCGGUGCCAAUGUCUCCUGACCUUAAUUACAAAGAAUGAACACAUACUUCAGCAAAUUUGGGGCAGCCAGGGGUGGUAGGUAGUCCCACCCAGAAGCAAUAUAUUUCUUUGAAUGCUAGUGUUUUUAUCUUCAAAGGGUCACAUGCUUUAAGAAAAGUUUUAAUCACUGAGAUAUGAUUUAUGUAUAACAUACAUUCAAAAAAGUACACAAAACAUAAAUAUACAGCUUAACGAAUUAUCACAAGGCAUAUGACCACCAGGUAAACAAAUGCCCAGAAGCCCCCCACCCUCUGUGCCUCACUGUCUUCUCCCCAAGGGAAACCAACCACUAUUCUGACUGCUGAUGCUAUUGUUCAGUUUUGCCUGGUUUUGGAGUUUUUGUAAACGGAAUCAAACACUGCUAAUUCCUUUGCAUCCAGCUUCUUUCACGCAACAUAUCUGUGAGAUUUAUCUAUGAUGUUUUGUGUAGUUCUAGUCCACUCGUUUUCAUUGCUGUGUGUCCAUCAUAUGAGUACACCACAAUUUAUUUAUACAUUUCAUAGUCGAUGGGCACUUAGGCUGUCUCCAGUUGUUGAUUAUUAUGUCUAAUACUAAACAUUCUUGUAAAUAUCUAUUGGUGUACCUGAGCACGAAUUUGGGACUGUAUCUAUCUCAAAGUCUGUUGCUGUAUCGUGGGUUUUGCAUAUUUCAACUUAGUCGAUACCUCCAAAGAGUUUUCCAGAGUGGUUGAACCAAUCUGUACUCCCACCUUCAGUGUCUGUGGUUUCUUGUGGCUCCACAUUUUCAUAGGGUUUUUCUUUUAUUCUUCUCCAUGAUAUAUCCAUGUUUGUUUCCAUGUUGAAAAAUGUUACACAUUUUUUUCCAAAAAGGGGAAAUGAUGCUUCUGAAAGGCCUACAAAGUUUAUCGUGAGGCUUCACUUGUCCCAUGUUGGAGGAGCUCAGCUGUAUAUUAACCAAGCUGACCUCUAGAAGGUUCUUUGCUCCAUCAUGACCUUUUGGCCUUUUACCAAACAGUUUCAUAUUCAGGGAACAGCUUCUCUCCUCUGUCUGGCAUAGAACCUGCAUUAUAUUGACUGAAUAUGAAGAGAUCCACCACUGACCUUUGAUCCGUUUUGCCAAGACAGCAUUUAUCUGAAUAAUCUUAUUUUGACUACAGGUUCAUCUAUUUGUUGCUUAGAUCAACCUCUGUGUCAUUUCGAGGAAACAGACCAUGUACUUCUUUAAUAUACAACUCCAUCACCUGCAAGAAGUCUUGGGACCCCAUGGGGAGUAAUCAGUAUUUGCUAACCGACUGACUGCUCAGUGUAGCCUAAAAUCCAUCUUUAUUUUUAUAUGAUAGUUUAAGUGAUUUAAUGAGUGGCUGUCACUGACAAGGCACUUGGGGACUGUGCAUAAAAUGACACAAUAAUAUAAAAAUAAAGCUUUGCUCAGAGACUAAUACACAGAAC
rnacentral:lncRNA from 1 species